ensembl:snRNA U6 U6 spliceosomal RNA
GUGCUUGCUUAGGCAGCACAUACACUAAAAAUUGGAAUGAUACAGAGAAGAUUAGCAUGGCCCCUGUGCAAGGAUGACAUGCAAAUUCAUGAAGCAUUCCAUAUUUUU